rnacentral:rRNA from 1 species
CUUUAUUGGAGAGUUUGAUCCUGGCUCAGGAUGAACGCUGGCGGCGUGCCUAAUACAUGCAAGUCGAGCGAAUGGAUUAAGAGCUUGCUCUUAUGAAGUUAGCGGCGGACGGGUGAGUAACACGUGGGUAACCUGCCCAUAAGACUGGGAUAACUCCGGGAAACCGGGGCUAAUAC